GAUGAACGCUGGCGGCGUGCCUAAUACAUGCCAGUCGAGCGAACAGACGAGGAGCUUGCUCCUCUGACGUUAGCGGCGGACGGGUGAGUAACACGUGGAUAACCUACCUAUAAGACUGGGAUAACUUCGGGAAACCGGAGCUAAUACCGGAUAAUAUAUUGAACCGCAUGGUUCAAUAGUGAAAGACGGUUUUGCUGUCACUUAUAGAUGGAUCCGCGCCGCAUUAGCUAGUUGGUAAGGUAACGGCUUACCAAGGCAACGAUGCGUAGCCGACCUGAGAGGGUGAUCGGCCACACUGGAACUGAGACACGGUCCAGACUCCUACGGGAGGCAGCAGUAGGGAAUCUUCCGCAAUGGGCGAAAGCCUGACGGAGCAACGCCGCGUGAGUGAUGAAGGUCUUCGGAUCGUAAAACUCUGUUAUUAGGGAAGAACAAAUGUGUAAGUAACUAUGCACGUCUUGACGGUACCUAAGCAGAAAGCCGCGGCUAACUACGU
rnacentral:rRNA from 1 species